UGAGGAAUAUUGCGCAAUGGGGGAAACCCUGACGCAGCGACGCCACGUGAGCGAUGAAGUCUUUCGGGAUGUAAAGCUCUGUCAAGAGGGAAGAUUAUGACGGUACCUCUAAAGGAAGCCCCGGCUAACUACGUGCCAGCAGCCGCGGUAAUACGUAGGGGGCGAGCGUUAUCCGGAUUUAUUGGGCAUAAAGAGCAUGUAGGCGGUAUUUUAAGUUAGAUGUUAAAUUUUUCAGCUCAACUGAAAGUUGCAUUUAAUACUGAAAUGCUAGAGAUCAGUAGAGGAAAGCGGAACUCACAGUGUAGCGGUGAAAUGCGUAGAUAUUGUGAGGAACACCAGUUGCGAAGGCGGCUUUCUAGCCUGAAUCUGACGCUGAGAUGCGAAAGCGUGGGGAGCGAACGGG
rnacentral:rRNA from 1 species